GCAGUGGUGGAUCAGUGGUAGAAUUCUUGCCUUUCAUGCAAGAGACCCAGGUUUGAGUCCCAGCCAGUGCA
rnacentral:tRNA from 1 species